rnacentral:rRNA from 1 species
GGAUGCUUGCCUUCGCUGACGAGUGGCGGACGGGUGAGUAAUACUUAGGGAUCUGUCCUUGGGAGGGGGAUAACCAUUGGAAACGAUGGCUAAUACCGCAUAACGUCUACGGACCAAAGGGGGCUUCGGCUCUCGCCUAUGGAGGAACCUAAGCGAGAUUAGCUAGUUGGUGAGGUAAAGGCUCACCAAGGCGACGAUCUCUAGCUGUUCUGAGAGGAAGAUCAGCCACACUGGGACUGAGACACGGCCCAGACCCCUACGGGAGGCAGCAGUGGGGAAUAUUGCACAAUGGGGGAAACCCUGAUGCAGCCAUGCCGCGUGUGUGAAGAAGGCCUUCGGGUUGUAAAGCACUUUCAGUCGUGAGAAAAGGUUAAGUGUUAAUACCACUUAGCUGUGACGUUAGCGACAGAAGAAGCACCGGCUAACUCCGUGCCAGCAGCCGCGGUAAUACGGAGGGUGCGAGCGUUAAUCGGAAUUACUGGGCGUAAAGCGCACGCAGGCGGUUUGUCAAGCUAGAGGUGAAAGCCCCGCGCUCAACGUGGGAAUUGCCUUUAGAACUGGCAGACUAGAGUCUUGGAGAGGGGAGUGGAAUUCCAGGUGUAACGGUGAAAUGCGUAGAGAUCUGGAGGGACAUCAGUGGCGAAGGCGACUCCCUGGCCAAAGACUGACGCUCAUGUGCGAAAGUGUGGGUAGCGAACAGGAUUAGAUACCCUGGUAGUCCACACCGUAAACGCUGUCUACUAGCUGUUUGUGUAUUUGAUACGUGAGUAGCGAAGCUAACGCGCUAAGUAGACCGCCUGGGGAGUACGGCCGCAAGGUUAAAACUCAAAUGAAUUGACGGGGGCCCGCACAAGCGGUGGAGCAUGUGGUUUAAUUCGAUGCAACGCGAAGAACCUUACCUACACUUGACAUCCAGAGAACUUAGCAGAGAUG